rnacentral:rRNA from 1 species
AUUGAACGCUGGCGGCAUGCCUUACACAUGCAAGUCGAGCGAGCGGCGGACGGGUUAGUAAUGUAUGUGGAUCGGCGCGAUAGAGGGGUAUGACAACUGGAAACGGUGGCUAAUACCGCACACUAUCGGCUGAACCCAUAUGGGAUUAUCUAGUAGGUGGGGUAAAGGCUCACCUAGGAGACGAUCUCUAGUUGGUGUGAGAGGAUGAUCAGCCACACUGGGACUGAGACACGGCCCAGACUCCUACGGGAGGCAGCAGUGGGGAAUUUUGCACAAUGGGGGAAAGCCUGAUGCAGCCAUGCCGCGUGUAUGAAGAAGGCCUUAGGGUUGUAAAGCACUUUUAGCAGGGAAGCGUUACCCGCAGAAGAAGCACCGGCUAACUACGUGCCAGCCGCCGCGGUAAUAC